GGGGUGACUAGCUCAGUUGGUUAGAGCGCUCGGCCUGGCGUUUUUACGCCGGUUCACGUGCUGAGAGGUCCUUGGUUCAACUCCAAGGUUGCCCCG
rnacentral:tRNA from 1 species